GGAUUAGGCAUGCAAGUCGCACGAGAAAGGUUUCUUCGGAAGCCGAGUACAGUGGCGAACGGGUGAGUAAUGCAUAGACAACUCGCCCUUGAGAUGGGGACAACGCCUCGAAAGGGGUGCUAAUACCCAAUGCCGCCUUGGGCCCGCGGGUCCAGGGUGAAAGGAGGCCUCUGAUUCAAGCUUCCGCUCAAGGAGAGGUUUAUGUCCUAUUAGCUAGUUGGCGGGGUAACGGCCCACCAAGGCUGCGAUGGGUAGCCGACCUGAGAGGGUGACCGGCCACAUUGGGACUGAGACACUGCCCAGACUCCUACGGGAGGCUGCAGUCGAGAAUCUUCCGCAAUGCGCGCAAGCGUGACGGAGCGACGCCGCGUGGGUGAUGAAGGCCUUCGGGUUGUAAAACCCUGUCAGCUACUACGAAACACGGGCGAUGAACAAUCGUCCCGUCUGACUUAAGUAGCAGAGGAAGCACCGGCUAACUACGUGCCAGCAGCCGCGGUAAUACGUAGGGUGCAAACGUUGUUCGGAAUCACUGGGCAUAAAGGGCGCGUAGGCGGUCUGAUAAGUCAGGUGUGAAAUCCCUCGGCCUAACCGAGGAACUGCAUUUGAUACUGUCGGGCUAGAGUACAGGAGGGGAGAGUGGAAUUCCUGGUGGAGCGGUGAAAUGCGUAGAUAUCAGGAGGAACGCCGGCGGCGAAAGCGACACUCUGGCCUGUUACUGACGCUGAGGCGCGAAAGCUAGGGGAGCAAACGGGAUUAGAUACCCCGGUAGUCCUAGCCCUAAACGAUGGGCACUAAGUAGAGGGGUUUU
rnacentral:rRNA from 1 species